CAGACCAAUCCACUCAAACCUCUGUUGGGACGGUGGGACAGGCUGGAAGGGCAAAGGUCAGGGAUCCACCAAAAUAGCACAUGACUUUUAAACUGAGAUCUCUGAAACAAAAGUGUAAAGAGGCACUUCUGAGUGAAAUGAGGAGCCACAUCGUUGCUGAGGAAGCUCAUAUAGAGUAUAUUUGAUAAAAUAUUAAAUAUAAUCAGUGCAACAAAGGAGCUUUCACGUUCUCACUUAGUUGCAACACCUGAUUGGAGUAAAUUCUUACUUUUUUAAAUUUACACACAUGAACAUAUUCCUAAAACAAAGUUUGACAGGAUAAACUCCCUUUAUAGCUUAUUUAAAGAUUGACCAGAUCUCAAAAACCAUGAUUUAAACUACAAAGUGUAAUUAAAUAUUCUUACCUCUAGAUGUUGCUCUAGUGUUACACACCCAAGUCAAAUUUUACUUUUAUUUUUUUUACAAACAUACAUCUUUGCACAUUGCUUUCAAUCCCUUGACGCCUUAAGUUAUUUCCAUUUCUAUUGUGGCUCUUCGGCUUUGAAAAAACAAAAGAAAUCAUUCAAAUUUUUAAAAAUAACUUUGUAGUUUUGGUUAAUGUGCUUUAGUUUGUUAGGUUAGUGGUGUUUUUUGUUGGAAUAAACUCAAGAAUUCUAAAAUUAAAGAGUUGGAUUUACAGUAUAAAAAAAAAAAAUUGGGAUUCUGCGCUAGUGUUUUCUUUUUAAUAGUAAAAGGAGAAAGAGGACAAAAGCGCAUCAUAGACAUAAUAAUAGAAAACUCCCUGUUUUGACAGAGGAUGUACUGUGUUUUAUUUUGAAAGGAUCUUGUACAUGCUGCUGUCAAAAGAAAAAUUAAAUUAAAUUUAUUGAAGGAACAAUAUUACAGUGUUAUAAUUAAAUUAUUGUGCAUAUAAAAGUAAAAAAAAAAAAAAAAAGAGAAUAGGUAGAAUAGCCAUAAAAGCAUAAAUAAAGUUUGUUUUUCUAAACGGUGGGGUGGGUUCUUGCUGAGUUUGAUUUAGACAGAAACUGGGCCAAAUGGCUUUUUUAGUGUUAAAGGUCUCAGACUCCUGGUCUAGGGCAUCGGAGUGAACAUUUAUAAAACUUAUACUUAGUUUCACUCACUCUACAGAUAUUUGAAGUAUGUUUUAUCGUGUCCUAUUUUCCUUUUAAUGUACUGUAUAUUUUCAAAAAAAGAUGUCAUCAUAAAAAAAAAUGUCACUUCUGUCACUGCUUUCAAUUAGUGGCUAAAUUAAAGCAGCAGAAGUAGUUUGAUGCAUAUUUGCAUCAAUAGGCGUUAAAUUAAGACUGAUGUCUAGUUUUAGUUUUGUUAAAUAGAAAAGAUCAAAGUGCAGCUCUUUAAUUAAAACUUUGGCAAAAACUCAAUAAAAUAUUAAUUACAUUUAAAGCUUUAAGUUAAAAUGAUGAAUAUUCUUUUUAGUACCACCUGACUGAAACUGGGCUGCAAAGUACAGUUUUCCAGAGGAGAAAAGAACGAAUUUUAAAUUUAAUGCAGAACGUUUUUGAUUAAAUUUCAAGUAAACUCAAACUCGAUUUAAAGUUUUAAUAUAGACUUUAUGUGUUAGUGUUGUAUAACAGAAGAAUUUGUUGCAUUGUUGUGGAAAAGCUUGUUGAAACCAGAAGUUUACAUACAGCACAUAAAACACAUUUUUUAAAAAGUAAAAUGUAAACUUUUCCUGUUUUAGGUCAAUUACAAUUAACUAAAUUAUUUCUAUUUGCUAUAUGUCAGAAUAAUGAGACUAGUUUUUUUUAGACAAGUUUUUAUUACUUUUAUCAAAGUAAAAAGUUUACAUGCGGUUAGAUCACUAUGCCUUCAAACAAUUUGGGAAACCCCAUAUGGUGAGGUAAUCUUUUGGAAGCUUCUAAUACGUUAUUGACAGCAUUUGAGUUUAUUAGAAACACACCUGUGGAUGGAUAUAUAUUACAGCACAUUUGAAACACACUUGCUUGUUUGUAAGACAUCAUGGGACAUUCAAAAGAAAUCAGUCAAGACAUAAGGCAGACAAUUUGCACAAGUCUGGUUCUUCCAUGGGUGCCAUUUCCAGACUGUAUGCAAGUAUUAACAUCAGGUGAACGUCCAGUCAUCGUAUUGCUCAGAAAGGAUUUGGGUUCUGUGUCCCAGAGAUGAACAUACUUCGGUCCGAUAUGUCCAGAACAACCCAAGGACGAAGACAAAAGAUAUUGUGCAGAUGAUGGCUGAAGGUGGUGAGAAUGCGUCAUUAUCAACAGUGAAACUGGUACAGUACUGUAAGGUACAGACACGGGCUUACAGGCUACUCUGCCAGGAAGAAGCCUUUACUCCUAAAGAAAUAUAGAAAAGCCAGAUUAAAGGUUGCUAAUGCAAACACGGAUAAAGACUUUAAUUUUUGGAGAAAUGAUCUUAUGUUUGGAGGAAAAAUGGGGAAGCUGGCAGGCCUCUGAACACUUCACUAUUUAGUGCAUUUCACAAAGUUGAUGGUAUCAGGAGGAAGUAACAAUGUGUGUAAAUAUUGAUGCAACGUUUGAAGACAUCAGCCAUGAAGUUGAAUUUUAGGCACAAAUGGACAAAUGGACCCAAGGCAUACUGCCAAACUGGUUACAAAGUGGCUUAAGGAUAACAAAGUCAAUGUUUUGGAGUGGCUAUCACAAAGCCUGGAUCUAAAUCCUAUUGAACAUUUAUAGUCAGAGCUGAAUAGGCGUGUACAGGCAAGGCAAACUACAAAUUUGGCUCAGUUACACCAGCUCUGUCAGGAGGAAUGGGUCAAAAUCUUGUGAGAAGCUUGUGGAAGGAUUUCCAAGUCGUUUGACCCAAGUGCUGCAGUUUAAAGGCAAUAGUACCAAAUACUACCAAAUACUAUAGUACUAAAUACUAAUUAUAUGAAUUUUGACUUUGAUAAAAGGAAGAAAAACUUGUCUAAAAAAACCUGUAGUCUCAUUAUUCUGACAUCUAGAAAAUAGAAAUAAUUUUGUUGAUUACAAUUGACCUAAAAAAGGAAAAGUUUACUUUUAUUUCAUGUCUGACGGUGGUGUAACUUCUGGUUUUAACAGUAUGCCCUAAAGAGCUGGUGACAUGUCUAACUCUGGAGAUCAAAUCAAGUACUGGCAUAUUGACAAAAUCAUUUUAAACUUUUUGAAUCCUUGUAUAAGACUUCAAAAAAAAUUUCUUUCCAAACAUUUCCAUUAAGACCUUGCACUACUAAUUUAUGCCACCUUUCCUUACAUCAUUAUUUUUUCAUUAUUUAAUUUUAGUAUUAUUUAUUUAUUUUUCUCUUGUGAGCUGAGGAAAUUAAAUUGUGUAAGCUCUUUUUUGUUAUACACGCCAGACUGGAAAUAAUGUUUUGCUGUGAUGUUUUUAAAAAUCACAUGUUAUUUUUAUUUCUUUUUUUAAGACUAAAAUAUACUGCAAAAAAUAUUAAUUUGAAAAACCAGCUAAUUUUACAAGCAAAAAUGGAGAGUCAAAUUAGCAGUGUAAUCUGACUUUCUUUUUUUAAAUAAAGUUUCAAACAAUAUUUAAAUCUUUUAGGUAUAGGGUGAAAUAUUAGGUUCUUAAAUUAUAUUAAUAUAAAAAUAAUAGAUUUAUUAAAUUCUAAAGUGUUAUAAGUGUCAUGGUGCCUCUGUCAGACUCCUCCCCCUCCCAGCUCUGCUCUGCUCUGCUCCAGACUCACCAGCUGUGACUACUCAUCUCAUCAGCUACCUGCUCUACAUAAGGAGACCCAGCUCCAGCAUUCUUCGCCAGUUUGUUAACCCUGAUGGUUUACCUCAUGCCACGAGUGUCACCUGAGUCUGACACCACCUCGAGCAGCAGCUUCAUUCUACUCAUGCUGACGCUUCCCACCUUCAAGAGCCUCAGCUUCCGUGCUCCUCAAGAUCUCCAGCCACGCCCCUUUACCAAGAGCUCAAGCCACGCUUACCCACAACACUGCUUGGACCAGCAAAGAAAAUAAACUUUCUACUUACCAAC